GCCAGCCCUUAUAAGGUGUUCUAUUUCUACGACUCCGCGGGAUCCCCUCGACCACCGCUCCUCUUUCCUUCCUUCCUCGUGUGACUAGCUGCUUCUUCUUCUAGAUUGGACUACUUGUUCCUCUCGAUUCACCGUCAAUCCUUGCUCCUUUGUGGCUCUCGGGGCGGUAGGUGCUCUCACUCUUCUUCUUCUCCUCAUCCCUUCGUCAUCUCUCUCGGGUAGUAGCUAGGGUCUGCUGAUCUUUUUUUGUUGGCAGAUGGUGAUUCCUGUCUAAUUUGUGAAGCAAUAGCACUUCAAUUUGGCGGUUCUUGCUCCAGGCUUAGGUUAGAUCUUGCAGUUUGUGGUUGUUCGUAAUCUACACAGAGUGAAGAUGGGAGGCUGCGGCAACCGUUCACCUCUAUGCAAUUCGACCACGAAGAAGAAUACAACCAAGUUAGUCAGUUACAAUGUUGUUUCAUUGUCCAGCCAGCAAUUCUUUAUUUCAUUCGAAUGGAGAGAAAAUGUAUGUGAGCCGAAACUGAGAGCUAUCGUCUGUAUGCCCGAUGUAUUGUUAUGUAUGUACAAACUCAAAACUUGUAAUUCGUUCUGUAAGGCAAGAAUGUCAUUUGUAAUAGAGGAAGUUGCACAUUAUUUAUUUAGCAUGUUUGGAAA